AUGGCUUCGUCAACGCCGCCGGCGCCGGGGAGCAGGGAUCGCCUGAGCGACCUCCCGGACUUCCUGCUGGGCCACGUCCUCUCCUUCCUCCCGAACAAGGAGGCCGGCCGCGCCGCCGGGCUGUCCCGGCGGUGGCGCGACAUCUUCUGCAACGUGCACACCAUCUCGUUCGCUGAGAGUCAGGGCGAGAGGGCCGACGACUGGAGCUCCGACUGCUACGAGGCCGAGGAGAAGAAGAGCGGCAGCGCGGUGCUCCUUGACGACGUCUGCUCCGCGCUCCUCUGCCGCCGCCGGACCGCCGGGCAGCACGUGCCGCUGCGCAGCCUCCGCUUCGCCUUCGACAGCUGCCACCACUGGGACUUCGUCCACGUCGACCAGUGGCUCUCCUACGUGCUGCGGCAUAGCAACCAGGAGCUCCACCUCGACCUGGGCUUCCAGAUCGGCGAUAUCUGUCGCCGCAAAGAUAACGAGGGCAACCACGACCAUGACGGCCGUGAGGAAGGGGUGGUGGACAGCGGCACCGACAACUCCGACCAGGAGGACGAGUGUGACAAGAUGAGUAGGCUGUGGACAUAUGUGCUCCCAAGAAGGCUCUUCACCUGCACGGUCAUACGGACGCUAUGUGUCGCCUCUUGCCGGCUGAAACUGCCGGCGGCCGUCAACCUGCCGCUCCUCGAGACUUUGAGCAUCACGGCUCCCCACUACGACGGCGGGAGAAGCAUCCAGCGGCUGAUCUCCAGCUGCCCCCGCCUCAUCGACCUGACGCUGGAAGCUAUCUACCGCCUCAAGAGAGUAUCCGUCCUCGACAAACGCCUCCGCAGAUUCGCCCUUCGCUGCUGUCACAACUUGAAGUCUGUUGACAUCGACGCGUCGGAGCUGAGGUCGCUGGACUACUGUGGCACGGUGCCCGCAGAGUCGCUCUUGUCCUUGCACGGCUUGCGGGGAGUCCCUUCGUGCACGGUCGACUUCUGCAUAGCGCUCUCUCAGGAGGCGGAGUUUACCAGGUUCAGAGGGUUUAUGGAGAAAAUAUCUGAUGCCAAGUACCUGCAUUUGCACAACCGAAGCCUAGAGAGCAUGUUCUUCUUGGGGUUCCCCUCGUUCUCUAGCCUGACGCGGCUCGUGCUGCAAGGGCCCCUUGAUAGUUGCGGCAUUGUCGUCUCAGUGGGUAGAAUCCUGGAGCAGACCCCAAACCUGGAGAUUCUGUCGCUGUGCAUGGAAGAGCGCGUUAAGGACACCCAAGAUCAAUAUGGCACCAUGGGCGAGGAGUAUGAGGAUGAUGUUGUGGAGAAGGAGAAGGAUGGAGAGAGCGAUGAUUUGUUUGUAGCUCCCGACGAGUUCACGGUUCCUGAUGAGGCAAGCUUCUCAAUGCCGUGUCUGCGGCACCGAGUGAAUGAGAUCAACAUGGUGCACUACGUGGGCGACGAAACACAAAGGAUGAUGGCCAGGCUGUUGUUCCGCAACGCGCUUGUGCUUGAGAGGAUGUGCGUCGUCCUCGUGAAGGGGACGUUCGAGUUGCAGUCUAAGCUCAAGAAUGAGAUUGAUAGCUGGGUAGUGGCCGAUGUAGAAAAGAUUUUCCUGUAG
rnacentral:rRNA from 1 species